rnacentral:rRNA from 1 species
AACGAACGCUGGCGGCAGGCCUAACACAUGCAAGUCGAACGCUCCGCAAGGGGAGUGGCGCACGGGUGAGUAACACGUGGGAACCUACCUUCUGGUACGGAACAACCAAGGGAAACUUUGGCUAAAACCGUAUACGACCUCCGGGUGAAAGAUUGAUCGCCGGAAGAGGGGCCCGCGUCCGAUUAGGUAGUUGGUGAGGUAACGGCUCACCAAGCCUACGAUCGGUAGCUGGUCUGAGAGGAUGACCAGCCACACUGGGACUGAGACACGGCCCAGACUCCUACGGAGGCAGCAGUGGGGAAUCUUGCGCAAUGGGCGAAAGCCUGACGCAGCGACGCCGCGUGAGGGAUGACGGCCU